rnacentral:rRNA from 1 species
UACAGAGGGGGCGAGCGUUAUUCGGAUUUACUGGGCGUAAAGGGUGCGUAGGCGGAUCUUUAAGUAGGGUGUUAAAUCCCUGGGCUCAACCCAGGAACUGCAUUUUAAACUGGAGGUCUAGAGUAUGGUAGAGGAAAGUGGAAUUCCUAGUGUAGAGGUGAAAUUCGUAGAUAUUAGGAGGAACACCAGAGGCGAAGGCGGCUUUCUGGACCAUUACUGACGCUGAGGCACGAAAGCGUGGGGAGCAAACAGG